GUGCCAGCCGCCGCGGUAAUACCGGCAGCCCAAGUGAUGGCCGCUGUUAUUGGGCCUAAAGCGUUCGUAGCUGGCCGCACAAGUCCGUCGGGAAAUCCGCCCGCUCAACGGGCGGCCGUCCGGCGGAACCUGUGUGGCUGGGACCGGGAGGCCUGAGGGAUACGAUCGGGGGAGGAGUGAAAUCCUGUAAUCCCGCUCGGACCGCCGAUGGGGAAACCACCUCAGGAGGACGGAUCCGACAGUGAGGGACGAAAGCCAGGGUCUCGAACCGGAUUAGAUACCCCAGUAUCC
rnacentral:rRNA from 1 species